UACAACUUUCAACAACGGAUCUCUUGGUUCUGGCAUCGAUGAAGAACGCAGCGAAAUGCGAUAAGUAGUGUGAAUUGCAGAAUUCAGUGAAUCAUCGAAUCUUUGAACGCACAUUGCGCCCCUUGGUAUUCCAUGGGGCAUGCCUGUUCGAGCGUCA
rnacentral:rRNA from 5 species